GGUUGGACUAGAUCUUUAAAGAUCCCUUCCAACUCUAUAAUUCUACGACUUGCUUGAUUUACGCCUGGCAACGCCUGGGGUCCCUUCGUUCUGAUGGGUCUCCUUUGAGUAAAUUUAGCUGGCUGCAGCCCCCGCUUCCUCCUCCGCCUCCUCCCCCCCUUGUUUUAAUCCUACGCAAGGCCGCUUAUCCAGGCGGUCGCCGGGCAGGAGGACGAGGUUGCCUUUUCAGGAGUCCAUGAGAACACAGCCCGGUCUCUGAAGAUGACGGAAGUUCAGAUUGACACCUCCCGCCUGCCUCCGGUGCAGGAAGUUUGCCGAGAUUUUGCUGUCCUGGAAGAUGGCGCUUUGGCUUACAGCCUUCAAGAGCAAGAGAGUAAGAGCUGAUGGGACUCUUCCUGCUCCUCUUUCUUGGGGCAAAGGCUCAGAGCAAGCCCAGCCUUGCCUUCCCUGGCCAGUGUUUUGGAAUUUCUUGGGGUCUUUAUCUACCUGGUCUGGCUGGGCC